UCUAUGGUCACUACAGAAAUACAGUGUCCCACACCUGCUGUUCAAACUGCUUGUUUCGAGGGCCAGCCACUCAGAAUCAGGUCAGCUGAGGAUGAACUGAAGUCCUGCAUAUAGAUAUCAGAGAUCAGCGAUGGUCAAAGUAACUGGCGAUGCUCUCCAGCUAAAUCAGACAUGAGCUAUCGAUUCCUAUCAACAUCAUUAUUAAGAUGAUCACCAGUCAGCAAAAAUGAAGAAUCUUUUGGCGUGAAAGAGCUCCUCGUCUCAAAAGCCUUUUUAGUCCAUGACCUGGACCAGGAGCCUGGUGGACGCUGACUUCCUGUCCUGUUAAAGAGCUGCCAGUCAGCGGAGCAGCUGUCGGUUUACAGCGGAAGCUGUGGUGGGAUAUUUUACACCGUCUUUCCUGGAAACCCAACACUGCAACGAGCAGCCGAACAGCAGGAGGGAGGAGAGGGAAAGUUUUCGCUCGUUCCCUGGAGUGGAGAGAAGAUGAAUGAGGGAAGAAGGGGAAAAGUUCAUGACGGGGUGAUAACGAGGUCGUCUACAGACGCUCAGUGUUUGAGUUCACCCGUAUGUCAUCAUGUAGAUUUAUUUUCAAAGUGUAGGGCCAAAGUCAUGAAGAUUAUGAAGCAUGCAGAUCUUAACUCAAAUAUUCCAACUGAAAGCAGCUUGUAGAGAAACAC